CUCUAAACCUCCAUAUCACUAAUCUCCUUUGCCCUUUGUCUGAGCAGUGAUGGCCGUUAUUCUGCUUGCAAUGCUGAUGUUGUUCAUGACUGGCCAUGCUAGCUGCACAUGGUGUGUUUGCAAGGAUAUGUCAGAUGCAGUCCUUCAAAAGACUUUGGACUAUGCUUGUGGAGCUGGGGCUGAUUGUAGUCCUAUCCAUUCAAAUGGUGCAUGUUACCAACCUAAUAGUGUCAAAGCCCAUUGCUCAUAUGCUGUUAAUAGCUAUUUCCAGAAGAAGGGCCAAGCUCAAGGC
rnacentral:misc_RNA from 1 species